UACGGAGGGAGCUAGCGUUUGUUCGGAAUUACUGGGCGUAAAGCGCACGUAGGCGGCUUUGUAAGUCAGAGGUGAAAGCCUGGAGCUCAACUCCAGAACUGCCUUUUGAGACUGCAUCGCUUUGAAUCCAGGAGAGGUGAGUGGAAUUCCGAGUGUAGAGGUGAAAUUCGUAGAUAUUCGGAAGAACACCAGUGGCGAAGGCGGCUCACUGGACUGGUAUUGACGCUGAGGUGCGAAAAGCGUGGGGGAGCAAAACAGGGAUUUAAGAAAACCCC
rnacentral:rRNA from 1 species